rnacentral:rRNA from 1 species
CCCUUAGAUGUUCUGGGCUGCACGCGCGCUACACUGAAGCGUUCAACGAGUAUUUCACCUUGCCCGGGAGGGUUGGGUAAUCUUUUUAAAACGCUUCGUGAUGGGGAUAGAUUAUUGCAAUUAUUAAUCUUCAACGAGGAAUUCCUAGUAAGCGCGAGUCAUCAGCUCGUGCUGAUUACGUCCCUGCCCUUUGUACACACCGCCCGUCGCUCCUACCGAUUUAGUGAUCCGGUGAAUAAUUCGGACUGCAGCAGUGCUUGGUCCUCCGGGCUUUGCAGCGGAAAGUUUAGUGAACCUUAUCACUUAGAGGAAGGAGAAGUCGUAACA